rnacentral:lncRNA from 1 species
AAAUUACUUUGUAGGGCAUUAGACAGCAGUAGGAAAUUUCCCUAGGACCCAUUGAACUCAAAAUAGAGCCGAGGUCUUGCCAAAGAUAGGUGACAGUACCAGCUGUGUGAGCAUCACUGGGCUGUUGAUGGAUUUAGGUUUUCCACGUGCCCUCUCACCAUGUGUGCACUGAAAUCCCGUGACUUUCAGGAUUAUGAAAGCUGAGAUGUGCUACUGCCUGCAGUCUUCCUU